rnacentral:sRNA from 1 species
UUGACAGUAUGUGAAAACUGAAUCUUCUGUUUAUGUACAGAAGAUGGAGAACACAGUGGAAGUGCAAGCUUCCUCAAACUGUCCUGCCAGUGUUCCUCAACCCAACCCUGGAGUGGAUCAUCUCUAGGACUUGGGGGGAGGGGGACAAGAGCUUAGUCUGGGAAGAGCAUUCGGUCCUUGGCCUCA